AUCCCGUGGUGCAGGCAUUUACGUAGUAGCUCCUUGAAUCUUUUCUAAACCUCGUAGAAGGAUUCAUCAUCCAUUUGUUGAAAAGUGGUGAUCUCAUUCCAUAACUU
rnacentral:snoRNA from 1 species